rnacentral:rRNA from 1 species
GACGAACGCUGGCGGCGUGCCUAAUACAUGCAAGUCGAACGCACGAAGUUGAAGAGCUUGCUCUUUAACCAAGUGAGUGGCGGACGGGUGAGUAACACGUGGGUAACCUGCCCAUUAGAGGGGGAUAACAUUCGGAAACGGAUGCUAAUACCGCAUAGUUUCAGGAAUCGCAUGAUUCUUGAAGGAAAGGUGGCUUCGGCUACCACUAAUGGAUGGACCCGCGGCGUAUUAGCUAGUUGGUGAGGUAAUGGCUCACCAAGGCAAUGAUACGUAGCCGACCUGAGAGGGUGAUCGGCCACACUGGGACUGAGACACGGCCCAGACUCCUACGGGAGGCAGCAGUAGGGAAUCUUCCGCAAUGGACAAAAGUCUGACGGAGCAACGCCGCGUGAGUGAAGAAGGUUUUCGGAUCGUAAAACUCUGUUGUUAAAGAAGAACAAGGAUGAGAGUAACUGCUCAUCCCCUGACGGUAUUUAACCAGAAAGCCACGGCUAACUACGUGCCAGCAGCCGCGGUAAUACGUAGGUGGCAAGCGUUGUCCGGAUUUAUUGGGCGUAAAGCGAGCGCAGGCGGUUCUUUAAGUCUGAUGUGAAAGCCCCCGGCUCAACCGGGGAGGGUCAUUGGAAACUGGAGAACUUGAGUGCAGAAGAGGAGAGUGGAAUUCCACGUGUAGCGGUGAAAUGCGUAGAUAUGUGGAGGAACACCAGUGGCGAAGGCGACUCUCUGGUCUGUAACUGACGCUGAGGCUCGAAAGCGUGGGGAGCAAACAGG